CGGAGGGUGCAAGCGUUAUCCGGAUUCACUGGGUUUAAAGGGUGCGUAGGUGGCUUUGUAAGUCAGUGGUGAAAUCUCGGAGCUUAACUCCGAAACUGCCAUUGAUACUGCUUAGCUUGAAUCAAGUAGAGGUGGAUGGAAUAUUACAUGUAGCGGUGAAAUGCUUAGAUAUGUAAUAGAACACCGAUUGCGAAGGCAGUUCACUAUGCUUGUAUUGUCACUGAGGCACGAAAGCGUGGGGAUCAAACAGGAUUAGAUACCCUGGUAGUCCACGCCCUAAACGAUGUAAACUCGACAUCAGCGAUACACUGUUGGUGUCCAAGCGAAAGCGUUAAGUUUACCACCUGGGAAGUACGACCGCAAGGUUG
rnacentral:rRNA from 1 species